rnacentral:rRNA from 1 species
UACAGAGGGUGCAAGCGUUAAUCGGAAUUACUGGGCGUAAAGCGCGCGUAGGUGGUUCGUUAAGUUGGAUGUGAAAGCCCCGGGCUCAACCUGGGAACUGCAUUCAAAACUGACAAGCUAGAGUAUGGUAGAGGGCGGUGGAAUUUCCUGUGUAGCGGUGAAAUGCGUAGAUAUAGGAAGGAACACCAGUGGCGAAGGCGACCACCUGGACUGAUACUGACACUGAGGUGCGAAAGCGUGGGGAGCAAACAGG